rnacentral:rRNA from 1 species
CGGCGAAGUGAAGCGGCAAUAGCUCAAAUUUGAAAGCUGGCGUCUUCGACGUCCGCGUUGUAAUUUGUAGAGGAUGCUUCGGCGAAGACUCCUGCCUAAGUCCCCUGGAACGGGGCGUCAUAGAGGGUGAGAAUCCCGUAUGUGGCGGGCAGUCUAAGCCAUGUGAAGCUCCUUCGACGAGUCGAGUUGUUUGGGAAUGCAGCUCUAAAUGGGAGGUAAAUUUCUUCUAAAGCUAAAUAUUGGCCAGAGACCGAUAGCGCACAAGUAGAGUGAUCGAAAGAUGAAAAGCACUUUGGAAAGAGAGUUAAAAAGUACGUGAAAUUGUUGAAAGGGAAGCGCUUGCAACCAGACUCGCUCGUAGUUGCUCAGCCGGCCUCUUGGCCGGUGUACUCUUCUACGAUCGGGCCAGCAUCAGUUCGGGCGGCAGGAUAAAGGUGUCGGGAAUGUAGCACCCUUCGGGGUGUGUUAUAGCCCGGCGCGGAAUGCUGCCAGCCUGGACUGAGGAUCUCGCUUCGGCAAGGAUGCUGGCGUAAUGGUUGUAAGCGGCCCGUCUUGAAACACGGACCAAGGAGUCUAACAUCUAUGCGAGUGUUUGGGUGUCAAACCCAUGCGCGUAAUGAAAGUGAACGGAGGUGGGAACCCCUCACGGGGUGCACCAUCGACCGAUCCUGAUGUCUUCGGAUGGAUUUGAGUAAGAGCAUAGCUGUUGGGACCCGAAAGAUGGUGAACUAUGCCUGAAUAGGGUGAAGCCAGAGGAAACUCUG